CAGCUCUUCAAGUGGUCGGGAUAAUUAUUGGGCUUAAAGUGUCCGUAGCCGGUUUAGUAAGUUCCUGGUAAAAUCGGGUAGCUUAACUAUCCGUAUGCUAGGAAUACUGCUAUACUAGAGGGCGGGAGAGGUCUGAGGUACUACAGGGGUAGGGGUGAAAUCUUAUAAUCCUUGUAGGACCACCAGUGGCGAAGGCGUCAGACUGGAACGCGCCUGACGGUGAGGGACGAAAGCCAGGGGAGCAAACCGGAUUAGAUACCCGAGUAGUCC
rnacentral:rRNA from 1 species